UGCCCCAAAUGGCUUCUGCAAGAAUUGAAUUCACAACCCUGGGUUUAGCAGGCCAAUGUUCAAACCACUGAGCUAUCCCUCCCCCCAUGGCUAGCCUUGGAAGCUCCAUGCAAGACAGCAGCCAGCAAGGGAGCCAUGAGUGACCCCAACACUCCCUUAGAACUCCCCAUGGCUGCCAGCAUUUCUCCUGCUCCCUCAGCUGCCACUGGCCAGGGACACAGGAGAGCUCCGGCCUGGGCUGGUGCAGAGAUCUCGGACCUCAUUGAAGUCCAGGGGGAGGAGACCAACCUCCAGGAUCUCCACACCAGAAAGAGGAAUGUGGAGAUCUGGCUGGAUUGCCACCAGCCUGGCCGACAAAGGCCAAACCCAGACACUGGACCAAGUCCGCAUGAAAAUCAAAGAACUCUGGCAGAUCAACCACAAGGCCAGAGAGCAGAGCGGAUGCUCCAGGGCAGCACCACAGAGCUGCCACUAUUACGAACAGCCAUCCCGUAAGGGGAGCUGGUCACCUCCCCCCUGUCAUCAUGGAGUCCAGCCGGAACAUGCCUAGCGUCAGCCUCCAUGAGGGCAGAGUGGUGGUGAAUAAGGAGGAGGAGGCCAUCCAGGUGACCAUGCCUGCCAGCCAGGACCUGUGCCUGAUCCUGGAGCCAGUUCCUCCCUCCCAGAUGUCUCCCAGGCUUCAGAUGAACCCGGGGAAGGCACUUCAGAGACGCAGACAACGACUACACCUGAAUACAGAUUGAGAUGGAUCUGCGCUGGGCCCCAAGUUGUGCAAGGAAAUCAGCGAUGAUCCAUACCCUCCGGAUAUGCUAGAGUAGAUGUUCCCAGUGGAUUGUUACGGUGCGCUUCUUUGAGAGCUGAACUGAUGCAGUGGGCCAGCCAAUUGCUUGUGCAAACAUGCCCUCUUCUGUGUGCUGCAAAGGCAAAUUCUUUUAGACUUGCUAAUGAGUCUAAUGUAGCAUAUGGAACGAUUGCUUAGAGCCAAACCCAAACUUCUACUGAAGUCAGUGGAGGCCACAUUCAAGGACAGACUAUGCACACAGCCAAGUCUUCAUUCCUGGGCACAGGCCAAGCAACUGGACGGAGUGAUUUUGGUGGAUCAGCGAAGUGUAGUGAAUCUCGGUGGAGCACAGCACUAUGAUGGGCAAGGGGUGCAAACCCAAAGCAUAGUUUUGUAGGUAGGACUGGUAGCAAAUGAAGAAUCUUUUCUGCAAAGCAAAAAUCGUUGGUUUGUUUUUGUUAAAAAUGUUCAAACUUUAUUUUUGACUCUAUUAGAAAUGUAAUAGAAUGGCAUUGAAAUGACUUCCCCCUCCCAUUGUUCACUUGUUGGUUUCCCCUUUGGAGGAGGAGGGAAGAAAGGGAGAGACAAGGGAGAGACUAAAUGAAAAUGAAAAAUGUUGUUUUGGUUCAAAAUUGUUUUUGGGGGGACAAAGCAAAGUACACGUUUGAUUUUUUGUGUGGUAAGAUGUUUUCUUAUUCAAAAAAACACUUUUAUCAAACUUUUUGUUGACUUUUUUGACCAUCCUGCCCUUCUCCAUCUCCUAGAGCAUGCAGAACCAUUGCCGUUUUGUAGGAUGUUGGGCAGUUUGUUUUGCAGCCACAUAAAGGAUGUAGCGGAAGGGGCUGCAUUUAUCCUGUGUUUUCUAACCGUAAAAAUCAGACAUAGCUCUUUUGAUGUUCACAUUUGUUUCUCAGCUUACUCUUCCCUAGCUGCUGUCAGGGGGGAUUGUUACCAAUUGCUCUUUAUUGUUCUGAGCUGGGGACACAUGACUCUGUACUCAUCAUGGUUCAGCUUCCCCAGGGGCUGAGAGAAUUCUCUCUGCAGAUAACGCUGUGUAGGAGCUUACGUGGAAGGAUCUCUGUGCUGGAAAACACGUAAUGGUCUUUGCUAUGGACCUGAUGCUACAGUCAUUUCUACUCAGAAAUUCCAGGGAAAUGAAUAAGAGUUCUGCACUUAAGGAAUGCCAUCUUGGACCCCGUCUGCCUCUUGAGUGAGGCAGAAAAAUAGCAGCACAUGAACACGGGGGUCUAGGGAUUG